rnacentral:lncRNA from 1 species
CAAACAAAGUGAGAAGAAUAAGAGCACCACAUUGAAGCUGCCCAGCAACACCCGUAGGGGUGGUGUUGUCAUCAUGUUUGACAGUCUCCUGGAGGGGAAGGAGUCUCUCCGAGAAAUGGCCAUAUCACAGUCUGCCGAUAUGGACAGCCCCAUAAAGAGGAUCCUCCUGGAUGAUGUAUUUUGGGAGAGAGUGGUAAGCAGCCUGAAACUCCUGAAACCUAUAGCAGUAGCCUUUGCACGGAUUGAGGAGACAAUGCCAUCCUGUCUGAUGUUCAGACUCUGCAGUAUUUCACUGCCCACUUCACUGUUGCUCCAAGCAGAGGAAACUGCAGUUCUGAAAUACAUCAAAAAGCGUGAAGACUUCUGCCAGAAGCCCAUACACGCCGCAAUGUACAUGUUAGACCCCAAGUAUGCUGGCAAGAGCAUCCUGUCUGGUGCAGAGAUCAACAAGGCCUAUGGUGUCAUCACUACCAUGUCUCACCACCUUCGCCUAGAUGAGGGCAAGGUUCUUGGCAGUCUGGCCAAGUACACUUUCAAGCAAGGGCUUUGGGAUGGAGAUGCAAUAUGGCAGUCGUGCCAACCUAUCUCAGCAGCCAUCUGGUGGAAGGGACUUUGGAUCUGAGGCUCUUUCCCCUGUUGCCUCCAUCAUCCUCCAAAUCCCACCAACAUCAGCCGCCUCAGAGUGCAACUGGUCCUUGUUUGGGAACACACACACCAAAGCACGCAACAGGCUGACCAAUACAAGGGUUGAAAAAUCGGUGGCCAUCCAGGCAAAUUUGAGACUUUUUGAGCCUGACCGAGCCAUCCUCAACAAGGUUGGAAAGUGACAAUGAAGAUGAGGCCUCAGUCUGAUGUCUUUGCCAGGUCGCAGUUGUAAAUGAGAACUUGUUCUCAACUAGCCUACCUGGUUAAAUAAAGGUGAAAUAAAAAAAAUGUUCAAGAGGUGGACAUUGAGGAUUUCCAGGGAGAAGACAUGGAUGCCUGAGAGGAAGACAGUCUAAAAACUAAAGCUUUGGUUAUCAUUUUACAGAUGUAUAUUGACAACGAUUUUGGGAGAUGCGAUGGAUCAUUGGGAUCAUUCAAUAUUCCCUUUCUUUUGUUGUUCAGUGAAAUCAUCCCAUGUGAAGAGUCAACUCAUUUAAUUAAACUUCAAUCCGUAACUAAAUUUUUUUUUUUAUUUCUAUUGGAAGGAUUUAAUCAAUUGCAAUUGUCUAUUUAUGAUAAGGUAAAAUGUUUGUUUCUGUCUCCAUAUGAUAUGGUAAAUAUAUCCAAUGCAAAAGAC